UGGACGCCAGUCUGCGUGGAGCCAACCUUGAAAUACCACCCUUUAAUGUUUGAUGUUCUAACGUUGGCCCCUUACCGGGGUUGCGGACAGUGUCUGGUGGGGAGUUUGACUGGGGCGGUCUCCUCCCAAAGCGUAACGGAGGAGCACGAAGGUUAGCUAAUCCUGGUCGGACAUCAGGAGGUUAGUGCAAUGGCAUAAGCUAGCUUGACUGCGAGCGUGACGGCGCGAGCAGGUGCGAAAGCAGGUCAUAGUGAUCCGGUGGUUCUGAAUGGAAGGGCCAUCGCUCAACGGAUAAAAGGUACUCCGGGGAUAACAGGCUGAUACCGCCCAAGAGUUCAUAUCGACGGCGGUGUUUGGCACCUCGAUGUCGGCUCAUCACAUCCUGGGGCUGAAGUAGGUCCCAAGGGUAUGGCUGUUCGCCAUUUAAAGUGGUACGCGAGCUG
rnacentral:rRNA from 1 species